rnacentral:rRNA from 1 species
UCAGACGAUGCGUCAUGCAUAUCAAUAAGCGGAGGAAAAGAAACUAACAAGGAUUCCCUUAGUAACGGCGAGUGAAGCGGGAAGAGCUCAAAUUUGAAAUCUUCAAGGUUUUACCUUGACGAAUUGUAGUUUAAAGAAGUGUUUUCUGUUGAAGUUUUGGUAAAAGUUCUUUGGAAUAGGACAUCAUAGAGGGUGAGAAUCCCGUAUUUGACCAUUAUCUCCAGCUGUGUGAUACACUUUCAAAGAGUCGGAUUGUUUGGGAAUGCAGUCCAAAAUGGGUGGUAAAUUUCAUCUAAAGCUAAAUACUGGCGAGAGACCGAUAGCGAACAAGUACCGUGAGGGAAAGAUGAAAAGAACUUUGAAAAGAGAGUUAAACAGUACGUGAAAUUGUCAAAAGGGAAGCGUUUGACACCAGUGUUGUUUUCUCGAAAAUCAAUUAAAAAGAGUUGGAUUUUGUGUUGUAUUGACCUUAACAGCUUGCUUCACUCUUUUCCUGCUUUUUUUAAUGCACUUUUCGUUUAACAAGUCAACAUCAGUUUCUUUUGUUGUAAAAGGGUCAUUGGAAGGUGGCUUUCUCUUCGGAGAAAGUGUUUAUAGCCUUUGCUCUCUGCAAUCGGAGAGAUUGAGGUCUGCAGCGUAGAUCCUUCGGGGUUAGAUACAUUUGUGCUAAGUUAUAGCCUUUCAUAGACAACUUGUUGACUAUGAUUCAGUCAUGUAACUUACUCGCUUAUGCUAUUUUACCUACGCUUAGGAUGUUGAUAUGCAUGACUGAUAU